AAUACCGGGAUUCCAAGGGGGGGCAGUCGGACUACGGGAGAUGAGUUUCGUGGUCGAGAGGGAAAGAACCCAGACCGUCAGCUAAGGUCCUGAAGUGGUGACUAAGUGGGAAAGGAUGUGGAGUUACUGAGACAGCCAGGAGGUUGGCUUAGAAGCAGCCAUCCUUGAAAGAGUGCGUAAUAGCUCACUGGUCUAGUGAUUCUGCGCCGAAAAUAUAACGGGGCUCAAGUCACCCACCGAAGCUACGGGUUUGCCUUCGGGGCAAGCAGUAGGCGAGCGUUCUGUUAACCGGAGAAGCCAUACCGUAAGGAGUGGUGGAGGAGACAGAAGCGAGAAUGUUGGCACGAGUAGCGUAAACAAUGUGAGAAUCAUUGUCCCCGUAAAUCUAAGGUUUCCGACGGAAGGUUGAUCCGCGUCGGGUUAGUCGGGCCUAAGGCGAGGUCGAAAGGCGUAGCCGAUGGACAACAGGUUAAUAGUCCUGUACCACGUCAAGUUGCAUGACCGAGGGAG
rnacentral:rRNA from 1 species